rnacentral:rRNA from 1 species
UAGCCAUGCAUGUGUAAGUAUAAAUAGUAUACAGUGAAACUGCGAAUGGCUCAUUAAAACAGUUAUAGUUUAUUUGAUAAUCGAAAGCUAUAUGGAUAACCGUGGUAAUUCUAGAGAUAAUACAUGCUGUUCGGCCCGACUUCUUGGAGGGGUUGUAUUUAUUAGAUAUAAGCCAAUAUUCCUCACGGAAUUUGCGAUUGAUUUACAGUAACUGAUCGGAUGUCACUAGUUGACAUAAAUCAUAAAAGUUUCUGCCCUAUCAGCUUUCGUUGGUAGUAUAUAGGACUACCAAGGCAGUAACGGGUAACGGGGUAUUAGGGUACGACUCCGGAGAAGGAGCUUGAGAAUCGGCUACUACAUCUAAGGAUGGCAGCAGGCGCGCAAAUUACCCAAUCCUGAUUAAAGGGAGGUAGUGACAAGAAAUAACCAACUGGGAUGCCUUCUAGCAUUACGGUAUUGCAAUGAGGACCAUUUAGUAGACAUUAUCGAGGGACCAGUGGAAGGACAGUCUGGUGCCAGCACCCGCGGUAAUUUCAGCUCCACUAGCGUAUAUUAAAGUUGUUGCAGUUAAAAAGCUCGUAGUGAACUUCUGUUGCACUGCUAUGCUGGCUUUCGUCACUUAGUAGUGUAACAUUCGUCAGCAAACUAUACUCGGCAUUCAGUUGUUCGGUAUAGGGAGUUGGCAUUUUACCUUGAAAAAAUUAGAGUGUUUAAGGCAGGCAAUAGCUUGUAUAUAUUAGCAUGGAAUAAUAGAAUAGGACACUAGGCCAUUUCGUUGGUUAUUGGCAAAGUGUAAUGAUUAAUAGGGACAGUUGGGGGCAUUUGUAUUUAAUUGUCAGAGGUGAAAUUCUUGGAUUUAUUAAAGACAAACUUAUGCGAAAGCAUUUGCCAAGGAUGUUUUCAUUAAUCAAGAACGAAAGUUAGAGGAUCGAAGAUGAUCAGAUACCGUCCUAGUUUUAACCAUAAACUAUUCCGACUCGGUAUUCGCUUGGCUAUCUAAAACCAGGUGAGUGCCGUAUGAGAAAUCAAAGUCUUUAGGUUCUGGGGGGAGUAUGGUCGCAAGGCUGAAACUUAAAGGAAUUGACGGAAGAGCACACAACAAGAGGAUCCUGCGGCUUAAUUUGACCCAACACGGGGAAACUUACUAGGUUUAGACAUUGGUAGGAUUGACAGCUUGAGAGCGUUUUCUUGAUUCAAUGGAAAGUGGUGCAUGGCCGUUCUUAGUUGGUGGAGUGAUUUGUCUGCUUAAUUGCGAUAACGAACGAGACCUUCCUGUGCUUACUAGACAGUUGAUAUAUCUAUUGGCUGCUCUUCUUAGACAGACUUUUGACGAUAAGUCAAAGGAAGUUGGAGGCAAUAACAGGUCUGUAAUGCCCUUAGUUAUCCUAGGCCGCACGCGUUAUACAAUGACUUGUUCAACAAGUUCUCCUGGCCUGAAAAGGCAUGGGUAAUCUGAAGUGCAAGUCGUGUUAGGAAUAGAUCUUUGCAAUUAUAGAUCUUGAACAAGGAUUUUGUAGUAUGUGCGCUCAUCAG